UUAUGUUUCAAACCAAUGUAGGUCACCCAUUCUCCUUAACUGUCUUGAGAAUUUUUUUAGUGUUAUUGUGUAGAAGUUAAUGGCUUUUCUCAAAGUGAAUUACGCCUACAGUUUACUUGCAUCAUCUGUAUAGAGAUGCUUGUGGUAAUUCCAGCUGAAAUUUUCAAGUCCAUGGACAGCCCUCUGGAGGUUGGAAUAUAUUUUAGGUACUUUUAGAAGAAAAAUAGUAGGAGUGAUGGAUUCCCCAAGCUUUCUUAUGAAAUAUAUCCAUAAGUUGGGACUUAUUAGCAUUAAAAAA
rnacentral:misc_RNA from 1 species